rnacentral:rRNA from 1 species
GCCGUACUUAGCCCACAACCAACAAAACACAACUAAAAUACUCACCUAAAAUAAAACAUUCAUCUAACCGUAAAAGUAUAGGAGAUAGAAAUUUCAAUCGGCGCUAUAGAGACAGUACCGCAAGGGAACAAUGAAAGAACUAACCAAAGCAAUAAAUAGCAAAGAUUACCCCUUGUACCUUUUGCAUAAUGAAUUAACUAGACACAACUUAGCAAAGAGAACUUAAGUUAAUAACCCCGAAACCAGACGAGCUAUUUGUGAGCAGUCCAAAAGAACAAACUCAUCUAUGUGGCAAAAUAGUGAGAAGACUUGCAAAUAGAGGUGACAAGCCUACCGAGCCUGGUGAUAGCUGGUUGUCCAGAAAAGAAUAUUAGUUCGGACUUAAGCCUACCUACCAAACCCAUAAUUGUAAUUGUAGACUUAAGAAAUAAUCUAAAAGGGUACAGCCUUUUAGACACAGGAUACAACCUUUACUAGAGAGUAAGUAUGUAAAUAAACCAUGGUUGGCUUAAAAGCAGCCAUCAAUAAAGAAAGCGUUCAAGCUCAACAACCCAAAUAAUCCAAUGUCAACAAAAACUACCAUCUCCUAGUACUGAAACUGGACCAUUCUAUAACUAUAUAGAAGAGAUACUGUUAAUAUGAGUAACAAGAAUUCAAUUCUCCCCCGCACAAGUGUAUAUCAGAACGAAUAAUCACUGGUAGUUAACGCAUAUAAAGCAAACCAAACAACAAGCCCUUUAACCCCCUUCCGUUAACCCAACACAGGAGUGCACUCAGGGAAAGAUUAAAAGGAGUAAAAGGAACUCGGCAAACAUAAACCCCGCCUGUUUACCAAAAACAUCACCUCUAGCAUUACCAGUAUUAGAGGCACUGCCUGCCCAGUGACGUAAGUUCAACGGCCGCGGUAUCCUGACCGUGCAAAGGUAGCAUAAUCACUUGUUCUCUAAAUAAGGACUUGUAUGAAUGGCCACACGAGGGUUUUACUGUCUCUUACUCCCAAUCAGUGAAAUUGACCUCCCCGUGAAGAGGCGGGGAUAUCCCAAUAAGACGAGAAGACCCUAUGGAGCUUUAAUUAAUUAGCCCAAGAGCAAAAACAACAACCACCGAAAGGAAUAAAACAGCCUCAAGUGGGCUAACAAUUUAGGUUGGGGUGACCUCGGAGCAUAAAAAACCCUCCGAGAAUUAUAAGCUUAGACCUACCAGUCAAAGCCACGCUACUUAUUGAUCCAAAUAAUAUUUGAUCAACGGAACAAGUUACCCUAGGGAUAACAGCGCAAUCCUAUUUAAGAGUCCCUAUCGACAAUAGGGUUUACGACCUCGAUGUUGGAUCAGGACAUCCUAAUGGUGCAGCAGCUAUUAAGGGUUCGUUUGUUCAACGAUUAAAGUCCUACGUGAUCUGAGUUCAGACCGGAGUAAUCCAGGUCGGUUUCUAUCUAUUUUACGCCCCUCCCAGUACGAAAGGACAAGAGAGACAGGGCCUCCUUAACCUAAGCGCCCUCCAGCCGAAUAGAUGAUAUAAUCUUAAUCUAACGUGCAGUAAAUAUAUCAGCCCAAGAUCAGGGCUC